rnacentral:rRNA from 1 species
UACGUAGGCAGCAAGCGUUGUUCGGAGUUACUGGGCGUAAAGGGCGUGUAGGCGGCCUGUUAAGUUCCGUGUGAAAUCUCCCGGCUCAACCGGGAGGGUGCGCGGAAAACUGGCGGGCUAGAGUGCGGGAUGGGAGAGUAGAAUUCCUGGUGUAGCGGUGAAAUGCGUAGAUAUCAGGAGGAAUACCGGUGGUGUAGACGGCUCUCUGGACCGCAACUGACGCUGAAACACGAAAGCGUGGGUAGCAAACAGG